AGGAUGAACGCUAGCGGCGUGCCUAACACAUGCAAGUCGAACGUGAAGGGGUACUUGUAUCCCUGAAAGUGGCGGACGGGUGAGUAAGACGUAGGUGACCUGCCUUGGAGUGGGGGAUAACCAUUGGAAACGAUGGCUAAUACCGCAUGACGUUGUUGAGUUGGGAAACUUGACAACCAAAGCUUUGGCGCUUGGAGAGGGGCCUACGGCCGAUUAGCUAGGUUGGUGGGGUAACGGCCUACCGAAGGCGAUGGAAUCGGUAGCUGGUCUGAGAGGACGAUCAGCCACACGGGAACUGAGACACGGUCCCGACUCCGUACGGGGGGCAGCAGUGAGGAAUAUCGGCAAGGUGGGGGACCCUGGACCGAGCGAACGCCGCGUGGAGGAUGGUACGGUUUUCGGAUUUACGUAAACUUCCGUUUUCGGUACGGGGGAAG
rnacentral:rRNA from 1 species